GGUGGGGUGCCAGAGUGGCCUAUUGGAAUGGCUUGGAAAGCCAUGGCGGUUUACCGCCCCGUGGGUUCGAAUCCCACCCCCACCG
rnacentral:tRNA from 1 species